CGCCUUGCCAGCCCGCUCAGAAACUCAAAGGAAUUGACGGGGGCCCGCACAAGCGGUGGAGCAUGUGGUUUAAUUCGAUGGUACGCGAGGAACCUUACCAGGGCUUGACAUACGUUGGAAGCGCAUCGAAAGGUGCGUGCCGCUUGCGGCCGGCGUACAGGUGCUGCAUGGCUGUCGUCAGCUCGUGCUGUGAGAUGUUGGGUUAAGUCCCGUAACGAGCGCAACCCUUGUCCUUAGUUACCAGCACGUUAUGGUGGGCACUCUAAGGAGACUGCCGGUGACAAACCGGAGGAAGGUGGGGAUGACGUCAAGUCAUCAUGGCCCUUACGGCCUGGGCUACACACGUGCUACAAUGGUCGGUACAAAGGGUUGCCAAGCCGCGAGGUGGAGCUAAUCCCAUAAAACCGAUCGUAGUCCGGAUCGCAGUCUGCAACUCGACUGCGUGAAGUCGGAAUCGCUAGUAAUCGUGAAUCAGAAUGUCACGGUGAAUACGUUCCCGGGCCUU
rnacentral:rRNA from 1 species